UACGUAGGGUGCGAGCGUUAAUCGGAAUACUGGGCGAAAGCGUGCGCAGGCGGUGAUGUAAGACAGAUGUGAAAUCCCCGGGCUCAACCUGGGAACUGCAUUUGUGACUGCAUCGCUGGAGUGCGGCAGAGGGGAUGGAAUUCCGCGUGUAGCAGUGAAAUGCGUAGAUAUGCGGAGGAACACCGAUGGCGAAGGCAAUCCCCUGGGCCUGCACUGACGCUCAUGCACGAAAGCGUGGGGAGCAAACAGG
rnacentral:rRNA from 1 species